rnacentral:rRNA from 1 species
GAUGAACGCUGGCGGCGUGCUUAACACAUGCAAGUCGAACGGAAAGGCCCAAGCUUGCUUGGGUACUCGAGUGGCGAACGGGUGAGUAACACGUGGGUGAUCUGCCCUGCACUUCGGGAUAAGCCUGGGAAACUGGGUCUAAUACCGGAUAGGACCACAUUUUGGAUGGUGUGGUGGAAAGUUUUUCGGUGUGGGAUGAGCUCGCGGCCUAUCAGCUUGUUGGUGGGGUAAUGGCCUACCAAGGCGUCGACGGGUAGCCGGCCUGAGAGGGUGUACGGCCACAUUGGGACUGAGAUACGGCCCAGACUCCUACGGGAGGCAGCAGUGGGGAAUAUUGCACAAUGGGCGCAAGCCUGAUGCAGCGACGCCGCGUGGGGGAUGACGGCCUUCGGGUUGUAAACUCCUUUCGCUAGGGACGAAGCGCAAGUGACGGUACCUGGAGAAGAAGCACCGGCCAACUACGUG